AUUUACCCUGGCUUUUUUAUCCACAGGUAAUAUCCUUGUCUGAAAAUCUAGGCCUGUAGUUUCUACUGGUAUAAAUAGGUGCAGCUCCAUUAAAGGCUUUGCCAUGAAGGAUGUGGAGAGUUCAGGCAGUUCAGCUUUAGUUUCAAUAAACACUUAAAUUUCUGAGAUAGACAAACCACAUUGUUCUACAGCCAGCAUUUUCAGACCAGCUUACACAGUUGUCUUGGGAAUACCUUUGGGAUGAGCAGAGCAGCCAGCCAUCAUCUGCUGCAGUCUGUGCAUCCUGUCUGUAAGUCUGAGCUGCUGGUAAUCCCUUUGGUACUGUGCUGCUGCCUGCCCCAGGGCUUUGCUGGCAACUGCAAUUAGAUAAAUAUUGGGUUUUUUUGGUGGAUAGAUGAUGUCUUGCUCCAUACCUGCCUCAGUGACAGUUAGAAAGCCAGGUUAUAGUAUACUCACUCAUUUUCAAAUGAUCAAAAAAGGGUAAUGCCUCGGCUACUCCAAAUAAUGCAUUUUUUCCUGUGUAUCUCAGGUAUUGUCAGGAUGAUUUGGUUCAGUUACAGAGUCAGGACAUGGAGAAAAUGUUGAAUGUUAGGACUUUGCAAACACUCUUCUAGACAAUUUACAUUAAAGGAAAAGAAAACCUUUAGGAAAACACCGCAUAAAAUUUCAGUAUUCUCUACCCAAACUAAGAAAUCUGUGUAUAAAAUUAAUCCAGGUUUCUAGAUCCAAAUUCUGUCUUAAGGCAUGAAAGACUUUUCUUACCAAUAACAAAUACUAUGGGGAAAGUAGAGAGUUUUCAAAAUUUCAUUUUAAAUAGAAGGGAUAAUAAUGACAUUUUUACAUUCUUAUCAUACCCAUGCUGAAAAACCACUUUAAUAUUCAUCAGAAUAGCUUCUGAUAGAUGAAAAAAACCCACACCAAUACGUAUAUUUUUAAAGUAAAUAAGUCAGUGUGUACGGAAACAAGGCCUGUUUCUUGAGAAAAACCUGACCUGGAGCACUUGCACUAAAUGGUCCAGUGUUUAUAAAUGUGACUCAGCUGGAGAUGGUUUCUGAACUUCUAAAAUUUUGAAGAUAUUUUUCCUGUAUACUCUGGAAAGGCUUCAAAGUACACUCAGCAAGCAAAUUUCAAAAGUACAAUGGCUGUAUUUAAGCUGUUUUUCACCUUAAGUUUUACUGCAGUCUGAUUGACUCUCUGGCCAAACCUGACAUGCAUAAGCUAAUUAUCAUUUGCAUAUGAUCCUUUCCCACUGUGAUCCUUGGAAAGAUGAAAAGAUUUAUUUAAAUACUGAAAUCUGAGCGUUACAAACCUAAACAAGACACAUGCUGACUCUGAGAGGAUGAAAUCUCUGUUCCCAGAGUUUUCUUUUACUUUUCAAGAGAGGACCCAUCCAUCAUGAUGACAAGGAACCUAAUCCAUGAUACUGAUUUGUAAAUAGAGUUUCUGACAGUUUGUGGUUCAUACUUUCUACAAACACAUGAGAAAUAAACAUUCAACACUGCUACAAUCUAAGUUCAUCACUUUAAAAUGUCCUCUCCAGCUACUUCUGUAUGUCAGGUAAUAUUAGAAAAAACACAUACCUGAGACUCAAAGGAGCAUUGUUACACCCUGAAAAACUAGACAUUCAUUAUAAAUUAUCCUUUGAGAGCUGCAGGAGAAAAUACUUUCCCACCAAUUAUUGUGACAUGAUGUAAGAUUGGAGUGGUUUAUUCUAUACCACAGUUUAUGACAUCGCUUUUGCCAACAUGUGAUCUGAACACUUUUCAGCACAUUAUGAACAGCAACUAAAAUUGGACCAAUUUAUUAUCUUGUUCUCCCUGGAGGAGAAGGGUAAAUAAGCUACAUUGUGAUGCUUCAUUUUAGAUGUACCUCAACAUACUCUUAGUUUUCAGUAGAGAAGAUAAGAUUGAAGAGGCACAUCCUGAACUGGAGUCAGAAAUUAGAGUUUUCCAACAGUCCCUCACAAGGACCAUUCUUCUGGACUUCUACUGUUCAAACAAACUGAAUUUGGGAACCUCUGUCUCAAUCAACAGCAGCUCAGUAACUGGAGACAGGUAUUUAAAGGAAGGCUGCACAGUGAGCCAUGAGGAAAGGCAGCAGGUUGGAUGGAUGCUUACAGAAAUACACUGAGAAGAUACUACCCAGCUCCCAGCUCUUAUCUUUCAUUGGCAGAAUAGAAUGAGGGCAACUUGACUUCCUAGCUGGUCUACUGACCCGUGAGAAUAAAGGGAAGAAAAAUGCCACUGUGUGAUAAAACAG